AGACCCGAAACCCGGUGAUCUAGCCAUGGGCAGGUUGAAGGUUGGGUAACACUAACUGGAGGACCGAACCGACUAAUGUUGAAAAAUUAGCGGAUGACCUGUGGCUGGGGGUGAAAGGCCAAUCAAACCGGGAGAUAGCUGGUUCUCCCCGAAAGCUAUUUAGGUAGCGCCUCGUGAAUUCAUCUCCGGGGGUAGAGCACUGUUUCGGCUAGGGGGCCAUCCCGGCUUACCAACCCGAUGCAAACUGCGAAUACCGGAGAAUGUUAUCACGGGAGACACACGGCGGGUGCUAACGUCCGUCGUGAAGAGGGAAACAACCCAGACCGCCAGCUAAGGUCCCAAAGUCAUGGUUAAGUGGGAAACGAUGUGGGAAGGCCCAGACAGCCAGGAUGUUGGCUUAGAAGCAGCCAUCAUUUAAAGAAAGCGUAAUAGCUCACUGGUCGAGUCGGCCUGCGCGGAAGAUGUAACGGGGCUAAACCAUGCACCGAAGCUGCGGCAGCGACGCUUAUGCGUUGUUGGGUAGGGGAGCGUUCUGUAA
rnacentral:rRNA from 5 species